rnacentral:SRP_RNA from 1 species
CGUAAGGCCUUAGGGCAAGGGUGCGCUUACGAACCGUGUCAGGUCCGGAAGGAAGCAGCACUAAGUAUGAUGUGCCUUGUGCUCUAAGUUAGAGUGAUAUUAGAC